AUUGAACGCUGGCGGCAGGCUUAACACAUGCAAGUCGAGCGAGCCGCGGACGGGUGAGUAAUGUCUGGGACACUGCCUGAUGGAGGGGGAUAACCACUGGAAACGGUAGCUAAUCCCGCAUACCAUCAGAUGUGCCUAGAUGGGAUUAGCUAGUAGGUGGGGUAAUGGCUCACCUAGGCGACGCUCCCUAUGUGGUCUGAGAGGAUGACCAGCCACACGGGAACUGAGACACGGCCCAGACUCCUACGGGAGGCAGGAGUGGGGAAUAUUGCACAAUGGGCGCAAGCCUGAUGCAGCCAUGCCGAGUGUGUGAAGAAGGCCUUAGGGUUGUAAAGCACUUUCAGCGGGGAGGCGUUACUCGCAGAAGAAGCACCGGCUAACUCCGUGCCAGCAGCCGCGGUAAUUC
rnacentral:rRNA from 1 species